rnacentral:rRNA from 1 species
CAGCAGCCACGGUAAUACGUAGGGUGCAAGCGUUAAUCGGAAUUACUGGGCGUAAAGCGUGCGCAGGCGGUUAUAUAAGACAGAUGUGAAAUCCCCGGGCUCAACCUGGGAACUGCAUUUGUGACUGUAUAGCUAGAGUACGGCAGAGGGGGAUGGAAUUCCGCGUGUAGCAGUGAAAUGCGUAGAUAUGCGGAGGAACACCGAUGGCGAAGGCAAUCCCCUGGGCCUGUACUGACGCUCAUGCACGAAAGCGUGGGGAGCAAACAGGAUUAGAUACCCCAGUAGUCCCUGUCUCUUAUAA